AAUGCUUAAAUGGACAUGGACACUAGCAAACUACACUGGGGACAUCAAGAAUAUAAUCUUGGACAGUGUCAGCUCAAGCACACACAUCCUGGUCCACUUCCUGCUCUGCCAGCAGAGAGCAGUGUUUGAGAGCAAACACGGGAAAGUCCCUACCAGUCACCAUCUCCACUGUAGCCUUCUACAUAAUCAGAAAUUAUAGAAGAGAAGGAAUCCUCUCCAGACACACUCCUCUGGUGCUGCCCAUGUAUAUGAAGGAGGUGCGUAUUGCACUGGCAGAGGGGUCGAUGAGCUGGGCCUCAGGAACAUUUUAUCUUUCAAGAUAUCAUCGUUUUCAAUUAGAGUUGAUUGAAAAGGGUCACGAAUAAAUGGAGGGGAAGCCAAUCUACAUGAGUCUGAAGAACCAGGGUGAUGAAAUCAACCUCUACCAGCACCUUGAUUUUGAGACAACGAGCCUCCUACUUUACAGAGAAAAGCAGCAAGACCCCCACCUCUACCCCCUAAACCACAAUAUUUACAAAUAGCUAGACACAAACUUCCACCCUUUUCUCCAUCAUUGGAGAACAAUUCCCAGUUCUACUCUGGCGGCUCAUGGCACCCACUCUUCUGCUCCUUAGCAGAGGUGCCCUUUAAU